rnacentral:lncRNA from 1 species
GGUGGAUAUGGGCCAUUGAUUAUAAUCUUUCAUAAAUUAUAAUCUUGUGCUUGUACAAAUAUUUUUAUCCUAGCUUUUCAAUAAGUAUAAUUUGAUCUACUAAAUAGUGGGAGAUAAUGAAUAGAAUAGCUUUCAUUAAAUAAAAAUUUUAUUUAGAUUGUCAUGAUCUUUGGCUCUAGACCGCUAGGUCAACAACAAUAAUAAAGCACCCGCUUUGAUACCACUUGUUGCCCAGAAAGAUAACAACCCAAGAGAGGGGAUAAAUUGUGUUGAUUAAAAAAAUUUAACUAAAUCUAAGAU